CAGCAACUUAGCCAAACACAGCUAUAGCAUCUCCCUUACACUGAGAAGUCGCCCGUGCAAAUCGGGCAGUUCUGAC
rnacentral:tRNA from 1 species